rnacentral:lncRNA from 1 species
GCUCAAGCCUAACGAAUGAAGCAGCCUCCACAGUCCCAUGUACCCCACUGCACUGGGGAAAGGCCUGGAGAAUUCAUAUACACGUCGUAUCCUUUUGCCACACCAGGGUCUUCUGCACCCGUGGAGCAGGAUAUGCUCCAAACCAGUGUAACUCCUAAAGUAGCUGCUUUCCUCAGGAAGUUGUUGAAAUGGCAAAGCCACCCAUAG